AGAUAACUCAGAAUCCUCCUACGGGGGAUAUGAGUAACGGUCGUUUGGCACGGCCAGCAGUCCACCUGUUCAAUCAAACCUCGGGGCGUUUCGCACCGAGCGAACAGGUUGGUUGCAAACCGUAAUAUCCCAACGCUGAGCGAACCAGAGGUUCGCGACGUACGCGAAUCUUUGAUUCGCUUGACUCGGGAAUCCUCGCCCUUUAGGGCGGGGA
rfam:Halanaeroarchaeum sulfurireducens strain HSR2, complete genome.